rnacentral:rRNA from 1 species
AUACGUAGGUGGCAAGCGUUGUCCGGAAUUAUUGGGCGUAAAGCGCAUGUAGGCGGUGCCUUAAGUCUGUCGUGAAACUGCGGGGCCUAACCCCGGCUGGCGAUGGAAACUGUGGCACUUGAGUGCAGGAGAGGAAAGGGGAACUCCCAGUGUAGCGGUGAAAUGCGUAGAUAUUGGGAAGAACACCGGUGGCGAAGGCGCCUUUCUGGACUGUGUCUGACGCUGAGAUGCGAAAGCCAGGGUAGCGAACGGGAUUAGAUACCCCGGUAGUCCUGGCCGUAAACGAUGGGUACUAGGUGUGGGAGGUAUCGACCCCUUCCGUGCCGGAGUUAACGCAAUAAGUACCCCGCCUGGGGAGUACGGCCGCAAGGCUUAAACUCAAAUGAAUUGACGGGG